rnacentral:tRNA from 1 species
GCUUCAAUAGUUCAAUGGUAGAACAAUAUACUGUUAAUAUAUAUAUGCUAGUUCAAUUCUAGCUUGAAGCG